UACGGAGGGGGCUAGCGUUGUUCGGAAUUACUGGGCGUAAAGCGCACGUAGGCGGCUUUGUAAGUUAGAGGUGAAAGCCCAGGGCUUAACCCUGGAAUUGCCUUUAAGACUGCAUCGCUAGAAUCGUGGAGAGGUGAGUGGAAUUCCGAGUGUAGAGGUGAAAUUCGUAGAUAUUCGGAAGAACACCAGUGGCGAAGGCGACUCACUGGACACGUAUUGACGCUGAGGUGCGAAAAGCGUGGGGGAGCAAACAGGGAUUAGAAAACCCCCAGU
rnacentral:rRNA from 1 species